UACACUCCGUGCAGGUGGCGCAAGU
rnacentral:misc_RNA from 1 species